rnacentral:rRNA from 1 species
UGAGGAACAUGACUUUCGGUGGGGGAGUAGCCGGCCCAACGGCCGGGUAAUACCGCGUACGACCACAUGGGGACAUCCCUGAGUGGUGAAAGCAGCAAUGCGCCGAUGGAGUGCCUCGCGGCCUAUCAGCUAGUUGGUGAGGUAACGGCUCACCAAGGCGACGACGGGUAGCUGGUCUGAGAGGAUGGCCAGCCACAUUGGGACUGAGACACGGCCCAGACCUCUACGGGA